CGCCAUUUCAGGCUAAGCCUGCUGAUGAGCCUGUGAAAGUCAGGCGAAAAUAACA
rnacentral:hammerhead_ribozyme from 8 species